GACGAACGCUGGCGGCGUGCUUAACACAUGCAAGUCGAGCGGUAAGGCCCUUUCGGGGGUACACGAGCGGCGAACGGGUGAGUAACACGUGGGUGACCUGCCCUCAGCUCUGGGAUAAGCCUGGGAAACCGGGUCUAAUACUGGAUAUGACUCCAUGACGCAUGUUGUGGGGUGGAAAGCCUUGUGCGGCUGAGGAUGGGCCCGCGGCCUAUCAGCUUGCUGGUGGGGUGAUGGCCUACCAAGGCGACGACGGGUAGCCGGCCUGAGAGGGCGACCGGCCACACUGGGACUGAGACACGGCCCAGACUCCUACGGGAGGCAGCAGUGGGGAAUCUUGCGCAAUGGGCGAAAGCCUGACGCAGCGACGCCGCGUGAGGGAUGACGGCCU
rnacentral:rRNA from 1 species